UGGGGAAUAUUGCACAAUGGGCGCAAGCCUGAUGCAGCCAUGCCGCGUGUGUGAAGAAGGCCUUCGGGUUGUAAAGCACUUUCAGCGAGGAGGAAGGUGGUGAGCUUAAUACGCUCAUCAAUUGACGUUACUCGCAGAAGAAGCACCGGCUAACUCCGUGCCAGCAGCCGCGGUAAUACGGAGGGUGCAAGCGUUAAUCGGAAUUACUGGGCGUAAAGCGCACGCAGGCGGUUUGUUAAGUCAGAUGUGAAAUCCCCGGGCUCAACCUGGGAACUGCAUUUGAAACUGGCAAGCUAGAGUCUCGUAGAGGGGGGUAGAAUUCCAGGUGUAGCGGUGAAAUGCGUAGAGAUCUGGAGGAAUACCGGUGGCGAAGGCGGCCCCCUGGACGAAGACUGACGCUCAGUGC
rnacentral:rRNA from 1 species